rnacentral:rRNA from 1 species
UGGGGAAUAUUGCGCAAUGGGGGAAACCCUGACGCAGCAACGCCGCGUGAAGGAUGAAGGUUUUCGGAUUGUAAACUUCUUUGAUGAGGGACGAUAAUGACGGUACCUCAAAAACAAGCCACGGCUAACUACGUGCCAGCAGCCGCGGUAAUACGUAGGUGGCGAGCGUUGUCCGGAAUUACUGGGUGUAAAGGGCGUGUAGGCGGGAUGGUAGGUCAGAUGUGAAAUACCCAGGCUCAACCUGGGGGCUGCAUUUGAAACCACCGUUCUUGAGUGUCGGAGAGGGAAGCGGAAUUCCUAGUGUAGCGGUGAAAUGCGUAGAUAUUAGGAGGAACACCAGUGGCGAAGGCGGCUUUAUGGACGAUAACUGACGCUGAGGCGCGAAAGCGUGGGGAGCAAACAGG